rnacentral:tRNA from 1 species
GCGCCCGUAGUUCAAUGGAUAGAGCACGGGCCUCCGGAGCCCGGGAUACAGGUUCGAUUCCUGUCGGGCGCA